UUAUCUAGCCUGCCGGCGGCGGCNACGUCCGUCGUUGGCCAAAGUCCUCGAUAACCUCCUCUCUUCGGAGCGGGGGAUCGGGGUAAAAGAACCCACGGCGCCUAAGGCGUCAAGGAACACUAUGCCUAAUGCGGGGAUGCGGCUGGCUUGCUAGCCGUCCCUCGUGUUGCAAUGCUAUUUAAUCCACACGACUCUCGGCAACGGAUAUCUCGGCUCUCGCAUCGAUGAAGAACGUAGCGAAAUGCGAUACCUGGUGUGAAUUGCAGAAUCCCGCGAACCAUCGAGUCUUUGAACGCAAGUUGCGCCCGAGGCCACCUGGCCNAGGGCACGCCUGCCUGGGCGUCACGCCAAACACGCUCCCAACCCCUNAUCGGGAGUGGGAUGCGGCUUGUGGCCCCCCNUCUCGCAAGGGGCGGUGGGCCGAAGAUGCGGCUGCCGGCGUAUCGUGUCNGACACAGCGCGUGGUGGGCGACCUCUCUUUACUUACCGCAGUGCAUCCGGCCCGUANCCGAUGUGAUGGCCUUGAAGGACCCUAUAAACGGAGCGCAUGACGCUUCGACC
rnacentral:rRNA from 1 species